rnacentral:sRNA from 1 species
CUCGCAACCACAACUGAUGGCAAAUCUCAGUCUAUGGAUUUCGGUGCCAUCAAGUUGCUGUCUUAACCUUUGGAACUUGUACUCCAACUGGUGGGAAUUGGAGGUUGAUCGGAGCAUUACUCUAUGACUGAGGUUCUUCUGUUUCCUUUCGGCGAGGGAUCGGAGAGUCCAUGAAGUAGGGCCGCAGCUCUCCCAGAGCUCUGCCAGUGACUCAAGAGAAACCCGAGUGUACCCAGUUGGUACACAAAGAACACCUGGUUCCUACUAAUAUUUCAAAGCGAUCAGCAGGAGACGUUGCUGGACCA